UGAUAGAAUGAAAUGAUUAAAAGUUAACUGUUUGGUUUUUUUUAUGCUAUGUUUAAUGUUUGUCCCGGUAAGAAUAAAGCGUAAUUCUUUGUAAAUUUUUCUAAUUAUUUUCUCAUUUUAAUGGUGCAGGAUGUUUUCAUGUUUAACAAUACUUUCCAAAUUGUGUGUCAUUAUGUUCUUUCUUUUAUGAGUUCAUACAUAGGUCAUAUGUGUUAAACACUUGAUAUGAGUAAAGGAACAGUCUGGUGUUUUUGUCUUACGGGGGAUUUAUCAUCCUUCACUAAACAACUUCUUCAAGACUCUUGUAGAGUUAAUAUGUUUAUAAUUUUAAAAAAUUGGAUUAAUGAUUGACUUCCUGUAACUCUUGCAUGAGUUUUGUUACAAAAGGUUAUGCAAAGGUACACUUAUACACAUCGACUCCCAACUCCCGAAAAGAUGUGAAGCCAGUUGGAGGAGACUUCUAAUGUAGCUCCUGCUGGAGGAAAACGUGCUGCCUCAGUCACCUAUAUCACACAGCGUUACAUACAUUAUCUGUAUGUACACAAAAGUUCAGGAGGAAGAGAUUUGUCAUUAACCUGGUGGGUAGAUAGCAGGGUUCUUGCCAGCGCAGUUAAGCAUAGGGGGGCCCUAUGCUCUGAUUUAACCAGCAUUGGGGGGCUUUUGUGUUUGUUUGUUUUUUAUUUUCUUCUUUGAAGGACAUGUCACAUGUUAUUUAAAGUCCCAGUUAGUAGCACAAAGUGGCACUCAAAAGACAGGAAAUAGGGUUUAAAAGGGCUAUAAACUUCAAAACUUUCUUGGGGAGAUGCCCCUGGACUCCCCCUACAAUACUCACAACUGCAACACUCAUCACGUGGCUGUGCCCCACAAAGUUCCCCCCUAUGCUGUGAAAAAAUCCUGGUGAGAACCCUAGAUAGAUACUUUAUUGAUCUCAACGGAAAUUAUGUGGUGGUCUGUCACUCCCAUUCACACAAGUUAACACUUGUUAAAAAUUCAUUAAAACAAAAACAAAUAAUAUUCCACUCACAAAAUCAAAAUAAAAUCAAAGUGAAAGGAGUUAAGAUACAGGAACAUAGGAAUGUCCAAAAUAGACCCCUAGUACACACCUAAAAAAAAAAUAGCUAGCUGUAUGACACCUCAUCUUAAAAAGAAAAAAACGCCCUCACAAAGGAUAAACUAUUCUAAAGACACAAUAUUUUGUUUGCAGUAAGUUGUAAAAUACUGAAAAGAAUAACUCCAUUCUCUUUGUAUAAUUAUCUGGUAUUGUGGUAGCUUGCUAACUAACUCGUAGUUUGGCCCAGUCGCUACAAUGGUUUUCGGUCAUUUUAGCUAGCUAGCAUUCAACUGGCUUGGAAGUAAGCAUCUUAAGUUUGUGACUAAAUAUUGUAUGGUGGUGUAUUCCAAGUUCAGGAUAUUAGCCCUUUAUGGAAUAUAAGAUUUGAAAGUCCCAGAUGGAAGGAGGCCUGUGUGGAGAAAAAUUGGCUAGCUGUAUGUCACCUCAUGCUUUAAAAAAAAAUAAAUAAAUAAAAAACGUCCCCACAAAGGAUGAACUAUUCUAAAGACACAUUUUGCUUGCAGAAAUUUGUAAAACAAUACUGAAAAGAAUAACUACAUUCUCUUUGUGUGAUUAUCUGUUUAUUUGGUAGCUUGCUAACUUUUGAGCCAGUCGCUACAAUGGUUGUGUUUUAGCUAGUUAGUAUUCAGCUGACUUUGAAAUAAGCAUGAUAGUUUUGUUUUUGAUUAAACAUUGUAUGGUGGUGUAUUCAAAGCUCAAGGUAGUAGCCCUUUAUGGAAUAUAAGAUUUGAAAUGCACACAAGACAGAAAAUUUAAAGUCUCAGUUUUUGCAUCAACAAAAUGAAGUAGAGCAUGUUUCACAAAACAUACCACAUGAUGUCAUUUGGUGUAUGAAAUGGCAUUUUAUGGUGGUUUUCAUAACCACUUGAUAAAUUGGUCAUCUGACUAGAAUAGUAUAACAUUUUCUCAGGUUUAUUGUUGAACAGUCUUUGAACAUUCUUCUUAACUUUCCGCUCGGGCACCUGUACGGGCCUCGUUUUGAUGAAAAUCGACACUGUGGGCACAACAAAGGGUCAACAAAUGCUACGAGAGAACACCAGAAAAUCCCAAAUAUAAAAAAGUACUCCAGUAAAACUGGUUAAGGCGUUCCCUAUGUGUUAAUUUCUUAACACAUUUAUUUAACCCUUUGAUGCACAACAUGGGUCAAAAAUGACCCGUAUUAAUUUCCCAGGUUAUUUCAUGCUGACUGAAUUUUUCUUUGUUCUAUCCUUAGAAAUCUAUUUAUUUUAAGAUUGAAUAUUCCAAGUAUUCAAGUAUUCUUUAAAUAUCUUGUUUUUGAUUACCACCAAUCUUUUUUUUUUUCAUUUUUCCCUUUCAUACUUUAUGAACAUAGAUAGUUUUUAUAUUACUACAUCAAGUUUGCACACAUGGGUCAAAAAUAACCAUUCAUCCAAGAGCAAUUUAAAAUUAAUUGACUUAAUACGAUAAUAAUAAUUUGUUUCAUAUCAGCAGAUCAGGCAAAUCCCAAAAUUCUUUUGGGAUUUGGGUGUGUCCAUCCAUGUACCUCUUCGUAUGUGGCAUAACGAGCUUCUUGCCCAGCUCCAUGAUGAACAGCCACCGUGGGCCACCUCGAGGUUCUCCGCUUACAUGAGUAGUUGCUAAUACUGGAUCACUUCUGGUUUCUUCUUCUGGCUGCUGUCAUCUGCUGCUUUGUCAUCAUGCUUGGUGCUCAGGAGGACAACAGCCAUUCCUUUCUGUUGCACAAAACUCACCGUGGUCAUGUUGCCACUGAAUCCAAACUCUGAGCUGUAGAUCAGUAAUUUGGGUGGCUUCACGAUAGGUGGUGUGUCCAGCUUGAUCUGAAGAAGAGUCCCAGUAAUGGUCAGGUUCUUCUCGAGGAGCUUCUCAGCCAGAGAGACACUGGUGAAGAAGUUGUCCAUUGUCGACAAAAACAAACACAUUUCACAGUUUCACACCAAAUGCUGCAGUAAAUACAUGUGAGUUAUUUCUGUCACGUGUGUCAACUUGAUGUAGAAACUCAAAAGCUGUGAUUGUUCAUAAAGUAAGAAAGAAAAAUGAUGAUUUGCGCUAAACAGAAAUGAGAUACUGUGUGUGUGUAAUAGUAAAUGAUAAAACAUUUAUUUCAAGAUAAAUUAUAGAAACACUCAACCGUACAUAAAAUGACAUAGAAAAUAGAUUUGGGUGACUUUUGACCCAUGUUGUGCAUUAGAAUGAUAGUGAUACAAAAAGGGUUUUUAUUCAAAAAGUGAGAAAGGAAAAAAAAUAAAAUUAAGAUGUACAUAUGAUUAUCAAAAACAAGUUAACUGAGGAAUACCUUGAUUCCCAAAUUAUGAAAUUAAUUUAUUGCAAGAUAUUGAAAAUAAAAACUCAGCCGGGUCACUUUUGACCGAUGUUGUGCAUCAAAGGGUUAAAUAUGUCAUCACUUCUUAGGGGACACUUGAUGGUUUGUUUUUCAAAUGGUCAUCCUGUAAGCUUUUAUCACGUACCAACAAUCUGCUCAGGUAUCUUUGGAUUACAACAAAACAGGUCGGGCACCGCCGGGGAGAAAUUUGCCCAGUUUUGAAUUUGCCCAUUAGAUUUUUAUUUGCGCAAUGUUUUGUUCUUCCUGCAAGUGUGUAAAAUGUGAGAAUAAAAACACGAUUUUAAACUUUUUAAUUGCAAAACCUUCUUCUACUGACACUUGUGAUGUCUGCAAGGAGAAUGUUGCUUUUGUCAAAUAUUCUGCCCCUCACCUCAUAUUCCAGAAACACUGUCACUGAGAAGCUGGGUCAGAGGUCACCACACCGGGCUACACCUGGAUUUGUGAGUUAAAUUUUAAUCUGGACUCAGCGGCUGCAGAUUUCACACCUGGUUCUAUCUUCAGUAUCCUGAAACGAAGGAGAAAGUCACACAAUUUACAGUAAAUGCAUGCGCGUGUUUGUUGUAAAUUGUGUAACUUUCUCUGGCCGCCUGUUGCUUUCUCAUUGGUUUAGAGUUUGUUGAUCUGCAGGUGUGAAGCAACAACACGAGGAAAUUCUCCCAGUUGCAGUCUUUCCUUCAGACCUGAUGUUCCACGUGUGUUCAGCCUCCGGCUCGUGUCAGUCAGACGCUCUCCUGCAGCAGAGAAACCAGUGGGAUGCCUCAUUUGUGGACGUGUCUGCUGUACAUCGUUACCAUUCAUCAAAGUGCUGUUUCAGCAGAGAAAGAAGUGUUCUUGAAAUGCAACUCAGCUGUAACGUGUGUGAGCACAAAAGUGAACUGCACUAUAACGUUGCUUUCCGGCUGCCUUGGUAUGGGAUUUGGAUGGACAGAGACUUCGAGUGGUGUAAGUGUCUGUAACGACAGUGUUCAGACACACGAUGUUUUCUUCUGCAACUGGGACAACAAGAGUUACGUGUCCCUCCACAUCCAAAGCGUCACUAAGGAUGAAAACUACACCAUCGUAGUACAAACAUCGUGUGAUAUUAGCACCGAAACAGUCGAAGUAAAGCCUAACUGUGGGCCACUUCCAGUAGUUCAGACACCUCCGUUGAAUUACCAAGCUCUCCUGCCAGGAAUUCUGGUCUUCAUCGCUGUUCUGGCAAUCACGGCUGUAGUCGGAAGAAAGAUGAUGAACCGCAGGCGGCAAAGGAUUCAAAGUGACGCCAUUCGUGACUCAGAACCACUGAAGACGCCGUGACUCUGUUUAAACAGGACAACCCGGCCCAGGUGUGACCUCGGCCUGGAGAAGUCUGACGCGGGAGAACUGAGUCUUUUAUCAUAGAGAAGCUUGAAUCUUCGACUGGACUGGGUUGCUUGACGCGAGGACGUUUCGCUUCAAAUCACAGAAGCAUCCUCAGCUAAAUUUCUUGCUCUGGUAGUCUGACUACCAGAAACGCCCUCACGUCAAGCAACCCAGUCCAGUCAAAGAUUCAAGCUUCUCUACUAUGGAAACCACCUGGACAACUGAGAGCCUUCAUAGAAACAUUGAGUCUUUUAUCGUCACAUUACAUCUGUUGUUUUCUGUAUUUUGCUCGAGGAUACAAAAUGGGGUUUUUCCCUCAAUAGGGAGUUUGUCCUGACCACUGUCUUCUACAUGCUUUCCCUGGGGUGGUGGGGGGCAGCUUGUAUUGUGAUUUGGUGCAACAUAAAUAAAUUGAAUUGAAUUCUGUUUUAUUUGGGGUGGUUCCAUGCUGUGGGGAAUGAACUCAUGUUGCCUGACCUGACCUGACCUGCAGCAAACUGAACGUGCAUUUAGAAAUAAUUACAAAUGGUGCUGUAGGUGGACUUUAUUUAAAAUCCAGAUCUCAGUCUUGGUCUCUCACCAUCACCACUGUUCCCCGACUGAUCUGGUCUUCUAGAGCCCUCAUUUUCCAUAGCGCCCAUAUAUCAGUGUUCAUUUUAGCAGCAUUAUAUCAGUUUUGUUUUGGUCAAAGUCAACUAAAAUGUCAAUGAGUUUUAGUCAUAAUUUAGGCAUCUGAAAUAUGUUAGGUUUAGUCGACUAACUCAUUCAUUCAUUUUUAUACCUGCCUACUCCAAUCAAGGGCCACGGUGGGGCCGGAGCCUAUCCCAGCAGGCCUAGGGAGUGAGGCGGGGUUCACCCUGGACAGGACGCCAGUCUACAGUCAACUAAAUCACAUAGAUUAAACAUGUAAAUAUCAUCAGAUCUCAUGUUUAGUCGACUAAAAAGGGGAGAUUCCUGAAUGCAGGCGCGACACGUUCAGUGCGCAUCGAGCGCGGAGCAGAGAGGAUUUUAAAUGGAGUGAUG